rnacentral:rRNA from 1 species
GGGCGGCGUGGAUUAGGCAUGCAAGUCGCACGAGAAGUUUACCUUCGGGUAAACGGACAGUGGCGAAAGGGAGAGUAACGCGUAGAUACCUACCCCUGGAUCCGGGAUAGCGACGGGAAACUGUCGGUAAUACCGGAUAAUGUCUCCGGACCAAAGGUGUGAUUCCGUCCGGGGAUGGGUCUGCGUCCUACUAGCUUGUUGGUGGGGUAAUAGCCUACCAAGGCUGUGAUGGGUACCGGGUGUGAGAGCAUGGCCCGGCUCACUGGGACUGAGACACUGCCCAGACACCUACGGGUGGCUGCAGUCGAGAAUCUUCCGCAAUGGACGCAAGUCUGACGGAGCGACGCCGCGUGCGGGAUGAAGGCCUUCGGGUUGUAAACCGCUGUCAGUUGGGAGGAAAUGCAUCAGGGUUCUCUCUGGUGUUUGACCGAUCUUCAGAGGAAGCGCAGGCUAAGUUCGUGCCAGCAGCCGCGGUAACACGAACUGCGCGAACGUUAUUCGGAAUCACUGGGCUUAAAGAGUUCGUAGGCGGCUUGGUAAGUCGGGUGUGAAAUCCCUCAGCUCAACUGAGGAACUGCGCCCGAUACUGUCAAGCUUGAGGGAGAUAGGGGUGAGUGGAACUGAUGGUGGAGCGGUGAAAUGCGUUGAUAUCAUCAGGAACACCGGUGGCGAAAGCGGCUCACUGGGUCUCUUCUGACGCUGAGGAACGAAAGCUAGGGGAGCGAACGGGAUUAGAUACCCCGGUAGUCCUAGCCGUAAACGAUGAGCACUAGAUCGAGGGAACUUCCACAUUUUCUCGGUCGUAGCGAAAGUGUUAAGUGCUCCGCCUGGGGAGUAUGGUCGCAAGGCAA